CCUGACCCCAUGCCGAACUCAGAAGUGAAACGCCGCAGCGCCGAUGGUAGUGUGGGGCCUCCCCAUGCGAGAGUAGGGAACUGCCAGGC
rnacentral:rRNA from 1 species